ensembl:lncRNA
CUUGAUUAAGGGCACCGCAGUCAUGUACAAGCCGGUACCAAGACUUGAAUCCGCAACUUUCAGAGCACAGUAGUACAGAGCAGAGUCUGAUACAGCAGCAGAGGAGAUCUUCAGAUCCACUUGUUCUCUUUUUGUGAUGUUAACAAUGAAUCUUGGAUCUACACCAGACGGCUGAGCUUCUUUUGCAGUGUCGUAGGGUGAAGAUGUCAAAUUUCCUAGGCUGGACAUCACUUUUGCCACUACUUUAUGGCAGUUUAUUGACUUUCCAACUGUCCGCCAAACCAUAUUGCAAAACAAGCCACUUUUAUGAGGAUUGUGGGCUUUCCUGG